GUUAAGCGACUAAGCGUACACGGUGGAUGCCCUGGCAGUCAGAGGCGAUGAAGGACGUGCUAAUCUGCGAUAAGCGUCGGUGAGGUGAUAUGAACCGUUAUAACCGGCGAUUUCCGAAUGGGGAAACCCAGUGUGUUUCGACACACUAUCAUUAACUGAAUCCAUAGGUUAAUGAGGCGAACCGGGGGAACUGAAACAUCUAAGUACCCCGAGGAAAAGAAAUCAACCGAGAUUCCCCCAGUAGCGGCGAGCGAACGGGGAGGAGCCCAGAGCCUGAAUCAGUGUGUGUGUUAGUGGAAGCGUCUGGAAAGGCGCGCGAUACAGGGUGACAGCCCCGUACACAAAAAUGCACAUGCUGUGAGCUCGAUGAGUAGGGCGGGACACGUGGUAUCCUGUCUGAAUAUGGGGGGACCAUCCUCCAAGGCUAAAUACUCCUGACUGACCGAUAGUGAACCAGUACCGUGAGGGAAAGGCGAAAAGAACCCCGGCGAGGGGAGUGAAAAAGAACCUGAAACCGUGUACGUACAAGCAGUGGGAGCCUCUUAAUGGGGUGACUGCGUACCUUUUGUAUAAUGGGUCAGCGACUUAUAUUCUGUAGCAAGGUUAACCGAAUAGGGGAGCCGAAGGGAAACCGAGUCUUAACUGGGCGUUAAGUUGCAGGGUAUAGACCCGAAACCCGGUGAUCUAGCCAUGGGCAGGUUGAAGGUUGGGUAACACUAACUGGAGGACCGAACCGACUAAUGUUGAAAAAUUAGCGGAUGACUUGUGGCUGGGGGUGAAAGGCCAAUCAAACCGGGAGAUAGCUGGUUCUCCCCGAAAGCUAUUUAGGUAGCGCCUCGUGAAUUCAUCUCCGGGGGUAGAGCACUGUUUCGGCAAGGGGGUCAUCCCGACUUACCAACCCGAUGCAAACUGCGAAUACCGGAGAAUGUUAUCACGGGAGACACACGGCGGGUGCUAACGUCCGUCGUGAAGAGGGAAACAACCCAGACCGCCAGCUAAGGUCCCAAAGUCAUGGUUAAGUGGGAAACGAUGUGGGAAGGCCCAGACAGCCAGGAUGUUGGCUUAGAAGCAGCCAUCAUUUAAAGAAAGCGUAAUAGCUCACUGGUCGAGUCGGCCUGCGCGGAAGAUGUAACGGGGCUAAACCAUGCACCGAAGCUGCGGCAGCGACACUAUGUGUUGUUGGGUAGGGGAGCGUUCUGUAAGCCUGUGAAGGUGUGCUGUGAGGCAUGCUGGAGGUAUCAGAAGUGCGAAUGCUGACAUAAGUAACGAUAAAGCGGGUGAAAAGCCCGCUCGCCGGAAGACCAAGGGUUCCUGUCCAACGUUAAUCGGGGCAGGGUGAGUCGACCCCUAAGGCGAGGCCGAAAGGCGUAGUCGAUGGGAAACAGGUUAAUAUUCCUGUACUUGGUGUUACUGCGAAGGGGGGACGGAGAAGGCUAUGUUGGCCGGGCGACGGUUGUCCCGGUUUAAGCGUGUAGGCUGGUUUUCCAGGCAAAUCCGGAAAACCAAGGCUGAGGCGUGAUGACGAGGCACUACGGUGCUGAAGCGACAAAUGCCCUGCUUCCAGGAAAAGCCUCUAAGCAUCAGGUAACAUCAAAUCGUACCCCAAACCGACACAGGUGGUCAGGUAGAGAAUACCAAGGCGCUUGAGAGAACUCGGGUGAAGGAACUAGGCAAAAUGGUGCCGUAACUUCGGGAGAAGGCACGCUGAUAUGUAGGUGAAGCGACUUGCUCGUGGAGCUGAAAUCAGUCGAAGAUACCAGCUGGCUGCAACUGUUUAUUAAAAACACAGCACUGUGCAAACACGAAAGUGGACGUAUACGGUGUGACGCCUGCCCGGUGCCGGAAGGUUAAUUGAUGGGGUUAGCGGUAACGCGAAGCUCUUGAUCGAAGCCCCGGUAAACGGCGGCCGUAACUAUAACGGUCCUAAGGUAGCGAAAUUCCUUGUCGGGUAAGUUCCGACCUGCACGAAUGGCGUAAUGAUGGCCAGGCUGUCUCCACCCGAGACUCAGUGAAAUUGAACUCGCUGUGAAGAUGCAGUGUACCCGCGGCAAGACGGAAAGACCCCGUGAACCUUUACUAUAGCUUGACACUGAACAUUGAGCCUUGAUGUGUAGGAUAGGUGGGAGGCUUUGAAGUGUGGACGCCAGUCUGCAUGGAGCCGACCUUGAAAUACCACCCUUUAAUGUUUGAUGUUCUAACGUUGGCCCGUAAUCCGGGUUGCGGACAGUGUCUGGUGGGUAGUUUGACUGGGGCGGUCUCCUCCUAAAGAGUAACGGAGGAGCACGAAGGUUGGCUAAUCCUGGUCGGACAUCAGGAGGUUAGUGCAAUGGCAUAAGCCAGCUUGACUGCGAGCGUGACGGCGCGAGCAGGUGCGAAAGCAGGUCAUAGUGAUCCGGUGGUUCUGAAUGGAAGGGCCAUCGCUCAACGGAUAAAAGGUACUCCGGGGAUAACAGGCUGAUACCGCCCAAGAGUUCAUAUCGACGGCGGUGUUUGGCACCUCGAUGUCGGCUCAUCACAUCCUGGGGCUGAAGUAGGUCCCAAGGGUAUGGCUGUUCGCCAUUUAAAGUGGUACGCGAGCUGGGUUUAGAACGUCGUGAGACAGUUCGGUCCCUAUCUGCCGUGGGCGCUGGAGAACUGAGGGGGGCUGCUCCUAGUACGAGAGGACCGGAGUGGACGCAUCACUGGUGUUCGGGUUGUCAUGCCAAUGGCACUGCCCGGUAGCUAAAUGCGGAAGAGAUAAGUGCUGAAAGCAUCUAAGCACGAAACUUGCCCCGAGAUGAGUUCUCCCUGAGACUUAGAGUCUCCUGAAGGAACGUUGAAGACGACGACGUUGAUAGGCCGGGUGUGUAAGCGCAGCGAUGCGUUGAGCUAACCGGUACUAAUGAACCGUGAGGCUUAACCUUACAACGCCGAAG
rnacentral:rRNA from 1 species